GACGAACGCUGGCGGCGUGCCUACUACAUGCAAGUCGAACGCAGUGGGGACGGGUGAGUAACACGUGGGUAACCUCCCAUCAGAGGGGAUAACGCUUGGAAACAGGUGCUAAACCGAUACUGAUGGAUGGACCAGCGGUGCAUUAGCUAGUUGGUGAGGUAAAGGCUCACCAAGGCGACGAUGCCAAGCCGACCUGAGAGGGUGAUCGGCCACACUGGGACUGAGACACGGCCCAGACUCCUACGGGAGGCAGCAGUAGGGAAUCUUCCGCAAUGGACGAAAGUCUGACCGAGCAACGCCGCGUGAGUGAAGAAGGUUUUCGGGUCGUAAAACACUGUUGGUAGAGAAGCGGUAUCUAACCAGAAAGCAACGGCUAACUACGUGCCAGCAGCCGCGGUAAUUC
rnacentral:rRNA from 1 species